rnacentral:rRNA from 1 species
AACGAACGCUGGCGGCAGGCUUAACACAUGCAAGUCGAACGCCCCGCAAGGGGAGUGGCAGACGGGUGAGUAACACGUGGGAACGUGCCCUUCGCUUCGGGAUAGCCUCGGGAAACUGGGAGUAAUACCGAAUACGCCGUAUUGGGAAAGAUUUAUCGGCGAAGGAUCGGCCCGCGUUGGAUUAGCUAGUUGGCGGUGUAAUGGACCACCAAGGCUACGAUCCAUAGCUGGUCUGAGAGGACGACCAGCCACACUGGGACUGAGACACGGCCCAGACUCCUACGGGAGGCAGCAGUGGGGAAUCUUGGACAAUGGGCGCAAGCCUGAUCCAGCCAUGCCGCGUGAGUGAAGAAGGCCUUAGGGUUGUAAAACUCUUUCGCCGGUGAAGAUAAUGACGGUAACCGGAGAAGAAGCCCCGGCUAACUUCGUGCCAGCAGCCGCGGUAA